rnacentral:rRNA from 1 species
GAUGAACGCUAGCUACAGGCUUAACACAUGCAAGUCGAGGGACCGGCGCACGGGUGAGUAACACGUAUCCAACCUGCCCUUUACUCGGGGAUAGCCUUUCGAAAGAAAGAUUAAUACCCGAAGUAAAGGUUGGGGAUGCGUUCCAUUAGGUUGUUGGUGAGGGAACGUCGCACCAAGCCUUCGAUGGUUAGGGGUUCUGAGAGGAAGGACCCCCAGAUUGGAACUACGGCACGGUCCAAACCCGUAGGGGAGGGAGCAGUGAGGAAUAUUGGUCAAUGGGCGUUAGCCGGAACCAGCCACGUAGCGUGAAGGAGGAAGGCUUAUGGGUCGUAAACUUCUUUUAUAUAAGAAUAUGUAUUAAAUGAAUAAGGAUCGGCUAACUCCGUGCCAGCAGCCGCGGUAAUAC